rnacentral:ncRNA from 1 species
CCGCCCAAGAGUUCAUAUCGACGGCGGUGUUUGGCACCUCGAUGUCGGCUCAUCACAUCCUGGGGCUGAAGUCGGUCCCAAGGGUAUGGCUGUUCGCCAUUUAAAGUGGUACGCGAGCUGGGUUCAGAACGUCGUGAGACAGUUCGGUCCCUAUCUGCCGUGGGCGUUGGAUGAUUGAGAGGGGCUGCUCCUAGUACGAGAGGACCGGAGUGGACGAACCGCUGGUGUUCGGGUUGUGAUGCCAAUCGCAUUGCCCGGUAGCUACGUUCGGAAUCGAUAACCGCUGAAAGCAUCUAAGCGGGAAGCGAGCCUCAAGAUGAGUCAUCCCUUAGACUAUAAGUCUACUAAAGAGCCGUUCAAGACCAGGACGUAGAUAGGCAGGGUGUGUAAGCGUUGUGAGGCGUUUAGCUAACCUGUACUAAUGACUCGUGCGGCUUAACCAU